GCGGACGUGGUGGAAUUGGUAGACACGCUAGAUUUAGGUUCUAGUGAGAAAAUCUCGUGAGAGUUCAAGUCUCUCCGUCCGUA
rnacentral:tRNA from 2 species